rnacentral:rRNA from 1 species
GUGGGGAAUCUUGCGCAAUGGGCGAAAGCCUGACGCAGCCAUGCCGCGUGAAUGAUGAAGGUCUUAGGAUUGUAAAAUUCUUUCACCGGGGACGAUAAUGACGGUACCCGGAGAAGAAGCUCCGGCUAACUUCGUGCCAGCAGCCGCGGUAAUACGAAGGGGGCUAUCGUUGCUCGGAAUUACUGGGCGUAAAGGGCGCGUAGGCGGACAGCUUAGUCAGAGGUGAAAGCCCAGGGCUCAACCUUGGAAUUGCCUUUGAUACUGGCUGUCUUGAGUUUGGGAGAGGUGAGUGGAACUCCGAGUGUAGAGGUGAAAUUCGUAGAUAUUCGGAAGAACACCAGUGGCGAAGGCGACUCACUGGCCCAAUACUGACGCUGAGGCGCGAAAGCGUGGGGAGCAAACAGGAUUAGAAACCCUAGUAGUCC